GCACAAGCGGAGAACAUGUGGUUAAUUCGAUGAUACGCGAGGAACCUUACCUGGGCUUAAAUGUAGAGUGCAUUUUUUAGAGAUAGAAAUUCCCUUCGGGGCUUUCUGCAAGGUGCUGCAUGGUUGUCGUCAGCUCGUGCCGUGAGGUGUCGGGUUAAGUCCCAUAACGAGCGCAACCCUUAUCGUUAGUUGCCAGCUGGUAAAGCAGGGGACUCUAGCGAAACUGCCACCGUAAGGUGAGAGGAAGUGGGGAUGACGUCAAAUCAGCACGGCCCUUAUGUCCAGGGCUACACACGUGUUACAAUGGCCGGCACAGAGGGCAGCUACCUGGUGACAGGAUGCUAAUCUCGAAAACCGGUCUCAGUUCGGAUCGAAGUCUGCAACUCGACUUCGUGAAGCUGGAUUCGCUAGUAAUCGCGCAUCAGCCAUGGCGCGGUGAAUACGUUCCCGGGCCUU
rnacentral:rRNA from 1 species